AGCAGCCGCGGUAAUUCCAGCUCCAAUAGCGUAUAUUAAAGUUGUUGCAGUUAAAAAGCUCGUAGUUGAACUUCGGGAUUUGUCCAUUGGUCAGGCUUAUCUGUCUGCACUGGUGUGACGAAUUCCUACCUUCUGAGGAAUUCUCAUGCCAUUAAGUUGGUGUGGGGAGGAAUCAGGACUGUUACUUUGAAAAAUUAGAGUGUUUAAAGCAGGCUAACGUCUGAAUACAUUAGCAUGGAAUAACAAUAUAGGACGGCUGGUCCUAUUUUGUUGGUUUCUAGGAUCACCGUAAUGAUUAAUAGGGAUAGUUGGGGGCAUUAGUAUUCAAUUGUCAGAGGUGAAAUUCUUGGAUUUAUUGA
rnacentral:sRNA from 1 species